UUGUUUUUUUUUAUAUUUUUAUUGCCCUAAUUUCAAUCUUUGUUACAAAUGUAUAAGCUUUCAUACUAGUAACAAAAAACAAACAAACUUAAAAUUGUAAUAUUUCAUCAAGACAAACAUUUUUCACAAGAAAGAUAUAUACAAAUAAAAACAACAACCAUUGUUCUCAACUGUUGAGAUUCUAAUCACAAAUAUGUAAAUACAUAGUGGGUAUAAAUCUAAACAUUAUAAAUAUAUUGAUUCAAUGUACAAGAGUUUCUGAAAUCAAGUCUUAGUGGACAUUAUAAUAUAUGUUUAUGGAAGACAAUAACAAAAAAAAAAAAAAAAAAAUAAA